rnacentral:tRNA from 3 species
GCGGAUGUGGCGGAAUUGGCAGACGCGCUAGAUUCAGGUUCUAGUGGUGGAAACACCGUAUGGGUUCAAGUCCCUUCAUCCGCAUCA